AACGAACGCUGGCGGCAUGCCUAACACAUGCAAGUCGAACGAGACCUUCGGGUCUAGUGGCUCACGGGUGCGUAACGCGUGGUAACCUGCCUUUAGGUUCGGAACAACUCAGAGAAAUUUGAGCUAAUACCGCAUGAUGUCUUCGGACCAAAGAUUUAUCGCCUUUAGAUGGGCCCGCGUUGGAUUAGCUAGUUGGUGUGGUAAAGGCCUACCAAGGCGACGAUCCAUAGCUGGUCUGAGAGGAUGAUCAGCCACACUGGGACUGAGACACGGCCCAGAAUCCUACGGGAGGCAGCAGUGGGGAAUAUUGGACAACGGGCGAGAGCCUGAUGCAGCAAGGCCGCGUAAGUAAUGAAGGCCUUAGGGUUGUAAAGCUCUUUUACCCGAGAUGGUAAUGACGGUAUCGGGAGAAUAAGCACAGGCUAACUACGUG
rnacentral:rRNA from 1 species